AACUUUGUCUGGUUUUAUUAUUAACUUCACGAUUUUCGUCGGUAAUAUAUUAAGUAAAACAUACAUGCAUGCAUGAAAAUAUACUUAUAUAUUCCUUGGAAAGAUGCUCAGAGGUUUAUCAUUUUUGUGAUGCUUCCAGAAAAACAGGUACAGGUUCUUCUGUUGACAUGCUUUGAUCUUCAAUUUCACCUGAUCUUUCUUUGCAGAGAUAUAUAUAUUUUGUCGUAGAACUUGAUAUUCCAUCAGUUGGCAAGUCAGUGAUUUUAUUUAGGGAUGAUGCUAUUUUAGAUGCUGACUUUUUACUUGACUGUCAUACGAGUAAUUUCUUGGAAAAUCUUGGGUGUCUGCAGAGUCAUGUAUUCCUUGGAGAACUUUGUGCUACACUCCUGCAAUUAUAUGCAGAACCAACAGAUGGGCUGUUGUCUGCCUUUAACCUGAAGUUACUUUUACUUGCAAAUGAUAGCAAAGAUUAGGAUAACAGUUUAAAUAAAAUCAACACUGUACAGCAUCUUUAAUUUGACAUAUAUGAUUAUUUUAUUUUCAUUUACAGAUGACUAUAUUCCAAAAGGUUUUAUUAUGAAGAGAUUACCCUAAAAACAACAAUCAGGAUUUUCGUUCAAGUUGCUUCUCUGGUGCAUCAUAUUCACCUUAUUAAUCAGAAGGAUUUGAGUCGACAUCAAAACUCGCUCCAACCAUUAACCUUUGCUGUUUUUCUCAAGUUCAAACCUCAUGAACAGCUUCCUCUGCCUGCUACUCCCUCUGUCCCAAAAUAUAAGAACGUUUUUAACACUACACUAGUGUCAAAAACGUUCUUAUAUUAUGGGCGGAGGGAGUAGUUCAUAAUAAUGACGGAUAUAAAAUGGUUUCAGAAAGCGCAGGCUGGCUAGAAUGAACCCGAGGGCAUUGACCAUGAUGCUGUUGCUACGAUGGAUUUCAGAAGUUUGGCAUGUCGGACAAGUGCAUUCCUCUUUAGGUGGGAUCUUUUGGUCCAACCCAAGACAUGGAUGUUAGCUCGUUGGUACAUGCAACCUCAGGAUAGCGCCAGGCACAGCUCUAUGAUGCAAACCUAUUGGAGUGAUCAAACUCUGUUGUGAUGAACGGUGUUCUUGUUGUAAAUUGGCGAUCAUCUGAAAAACGUUUCGUCUUUGAGAAGUAUGAUAAUGAUCACUCACACGUUUGCCUCGGGUACAAGAGAGCAAUCGAAGUACUCUGUUGUCAAGACUCGUCUUUCUACUCUUGCUGGUUCUCUGCCGGAAUUGUUUUGAAAAGGACUUCAUUUUGGAGUAAUUAAAUAGCAUAGGCAUUGUAGAUAGUUCUGAGUUGCUGGCCAUUCGGUGAAAGAUAUGUUCGAAGCAAGUAGUAUAUUUCUUCCUAAAAUGAACAUCACUUCCUGGAACACAACAGUUUAUUUUUGCCAAAGGGAAUUUCCUUGUAC
rnacentral:lncRNA from 1 species